rnacentral:rRNA from 1 species
AUGCUCAGCAUAUCAUCACUGAUUUCGGGCCGGAUUUCCUCGCCACCAGCAGCAAUAACCCGAUUGACGCACCGAAGAUCUUCCGGCAGAAUGUUUGACGUGUCAUGUGUGACCGGUGUUGGAAAGUGUAGCUGGUGCAAUUCGGGACAGUGGUGCACUGCCAAUGCAGCUUUACCAGAUUUUUUUUCUGAUGGGUGGGUUUACCAGAUUUUGGCUAGGUGCUGUAGAUCUGUGAAAUGGCAGCUGUACCUCGUAGUUUUGGCUUGUCCUCCUCCUGUACUCUGCCUCGAGAUUGAAAUGAAACUGAUUGGUUGUGGUGCAGAACUUGUCAGUGGAAGCGCGUUGCCCAUGCUAGAUUUGGGCUGCCUUUCCCUGAUCCGGCAAGCUCUGAAAAGGAGGGAGGCGUUUCUUGUUCCGUUUUCUUCUCUUUCGGAGAACGGACGUACUGGACUCAGCGGCAUCAUAUCCAGAGAUUCUAACAGAGCCGAUAACUGUUAG